GAAGUAAUUGGGAACCAAGCAGUAAGGAUGUACUGGACAUUAUGCUGCGUUUUAUCUAUUGUUGCUGUGCAGAGCACAGCAUUUUCUACUCCUAACCCUCCUGGACAGAACACAACAUCACCUGACGCUAACGUUACCGUGGCUAACGUCAUCGCUACGACGGCAACAGACGGAGAGACAAUGCCGCCAGGUAAGACAAGUCUGCUCAUGCUCAUCUCUCAUCCGUCAGCGCACCACCGUUAUCUUGCAGAUGUUUUUGGAAAAAUACUGUAAGUUUGAUUUUUACACACUUUUGAUAGAUAAAAUCGAGUAACGUGUUCUUGACCUGUCCUUGGUGCUGAAAAGUUAUCAUCUGAGUACUGCAUGUAAUAACCUCAAAAUAAAUUGUAUUAGUUUCUGGAAUCAAGAGCUACAUUCACUGUUGAAUUUUUGUAUUGAAAGAGUACAACUAUGGGGCUUGUCCCUGGUGCUGAAAAAUCAUCAUAUGGGUACCAACUUACAGUUUCUGGAUUUUUUUCUACAUUGUAAUGUGAGCUCUUACGUAUGUGCUUUUGGGGAAAAUGACAAGAUUGACUGAGCAUGUGUCCAAACACUUACUCGUAGUUAAUGACCAUUCUUUGAAUUUUGCAUGUUUUCAGCAUAAAUCAUAUAUUUGCAUGAUAUGUAUUUGAAUACGUUGACUUUUUAUCUGUUCCAGAUGUACUUACAAGUAUCCUGAGUUCAGGGGCCAUUGCUGGAAUAGCGGUCGGUAGCGUGGCAGGAGUGGCGCUGAUGAUUGUAGGAGUCAUCGUGUGUGUCUUCAUGUGUGUGACGGCGUGUACCAAGAACAGGCAAGUGUCACCGAGGACGUCUGCAGUGAACUUGGGCGAUGUGUAACAGCAUCAGCCUUCGUCACAAAAAUCGUUGAUUGCAAACCCUUCUGACAAGUAGUUGCAAAAACGAUGGUAACAUAACUCAAAACCUGUUGUUUUAUCAAUUGUAGUGGCCUAAAUGUACAUUUUUAAUGUUCCAUAGGGAAGUCGUAAUCGUUUUUCGUUGAUACCAGAUUAGUACGUUCAAACAUCAUCAGGGCUUAUAUGUGGGAAUAUGACGGCUAGGGAGCUAAGGACACAUACCAAUUAGACUUCGACUCCAACUCUUUCGGAUGCACCCUGAACCCUAUGCGUUUGACAUACACUACUCGUAUAAUGGAAUCUUGGUAUGUCAUCGAUGGUAAAAACAACAGCACAUUUUGAACAGUUCAGUUAUCUUAUACGUAUAUCAUUGAAUUUGUGGGAAGAUGUCAAUGAGGCUCCCAAGAAAAGUUAUGAUUACCGCAUUUUAUUGCUGUGCCUGUUUGUAGAUAGAUGCAGGUGGACAGUAGGACAAUGAGAACAUGAAUUUGGAAGUUAAAGCAUGUACCAUGCAGCUGUAAAAGUGUGGCCGAGACAAAGUA